rnacentral:misc_RNA from 1 species
UCGGACAAUGCUAUAAUAAAUGCACAUCAGGUAGGCAUAUGAUGCCUAUUUGGUGUGCAUUUUUGUUGCACAAGACCGGCAAGCGAAUGGAUGCUUGCAUACAAAUUCAUUUGCCGGUCGUAAGAACAUGGAGCACUAAGUGCGGAAUGUUCGUGUGCGA